rnacentral:rRNA from 1 species
CUACGGAGGGUGCAAGCGUUACUCGGAAUCACAGGGCGUAAAGCGCGCGCAGGCGGGCUGAUAAGUUGGAUGUGAAAGCCUACGGCUCAACCGUAGAACUGCAUCCAAAACUGUCAGUCUAGAGUGUGGGAGAGGAAGAUGGAAUUAGUUGUGUAGGGGUAAAAUCCGUAGAGAUAACUAGGAAUACCAAAAGCGAAGGCAAUCUUCUGGAACACUACUGACGCUGAGGUGCGAAGGCGUGGGGAGCAAACAGGAUUAGAAACCCGGGUAGUCC